GAGGGUGGAGCUCAGCGGUAGAGGGUGUGCCUAGCAUGCACAAGGUCCUGGGUUCAAUCCCCAGGACCUGCA
rfam:Camelus ferus unplaced genomic scaffold scaffold547, whole genome shotgun sequence.